rnacentral:rRNA from 1 species
GACGAACGCUGGCGGCGUGCUCAACAUAUGCAAGUCGAACUGAAAGGCCCUGCUUUUGUGGGGUGCUCGAGUGGCGAACGGGUGAGUAACACGUGAGUAACCUGCCCUUGACUUUGGGAUAACUUCAGGAAACUGGGGCUAAUACCGGAUAGGAGCUCCUGCUGCAUGGUGGGGGUUGGAAAGUUUCGGCGGCUGGGGAUGGACUCGCGGCUUAUCAGCUUGUUGGUGGGGUAGUGGCUUACCAAGGCUUUGACGGGUAGCCGGCCUGAGAGGGUGACCGGCCACAUUGGGACUGAGAUACGGCCCGGACUACUACGGGAGGCAGCAGUGGGGGAUAUUGCACAAUGGGCGGAAGCCUGAUGCAGCAACGCCGCGUGCGGGAUGACGGCCUUCGGGUUGUAAACCGCUUUCGCCUGUGACGAAGCGUGAGUGACGGUAAUGGGUAGAGAAGCACCGGCUAACUACGUG